rnacentral:rRNA from 1 species
UACAGAGGGGGCAAGCGUUGUUCGGAUUUACUGGGCGUAAAGGGCGCGUAGGCGGCCACCGCAAGUCGACUGUGAAAUCUCCGGGCUUAACCCGGAAAGGUCAGCCGAUACUGCGGGGCUAGAGUGCAGAAGGGGCAACUGGAAUUCUCGGUGUAGCGGUGAAAUGCGUAGAUAUCGAGAGGAACACCUGCGGCGAAGGCGGGUUGCUGGGCUGACACUGACGCUGAUGCGCGAAAGCUAGGGGAGCAAACGGG